AAUUGAUGAAAACUUUCUAACCUUUUUAAUUAUUGCACGAGAAGACGAGGGAGAGAAUGAUUGUUUCCUGUUUCAAGUAAUUCAUAGCGUCACUUUUGGUAUCUCUGGCAAGGUUUCCAUCUCUUGCUGACAGGUCAUCAGCAAUUCUUACAGGAUACAAAGAGGUUACAUCCCAGCUAUUGCAUUGCAUCUAAAGCAUCCUGGUCAUGGGUUCUUUACAAGGAUCUAAGUAAAUAUUCGACUAGAGUCAAAAAGACUGGUGGUAUGUCAACAAUGAUGCAGGAAUCAUGUCUUGAGCUAUCUUGUCAGACAAUAAUAGGCCCACAAUGCUUGGAUAAUGGGAUCACACACAACAUUGAGACUCUGGAAGCAUCUGGAUAUCAGCAGAACAAAAAUUACGGCAGAUGCAUUAAAGAGGAGAGAAUAGAUGAAGGACAUACUAGUAGUGCCCUUGGCGGAAACAGUGGAUCAAGUGAAUGUGAGAUGACAGAAUCUACAGGAACUGCGUGUUCACACUGUAAGAAAAUAGAUGGGACAAGCAUUAAAGAGGAGAGAAUAGAUGAAGGAGAUAGUGCGCUCGAUGGAAACAGUGAAUGUGAGAUGAUAGAAUCUACAGGAACUGUGUGUUCACACUCAUCUGGAUCUCAGCAGAACAAAAAUUACGGCAGAUGCAUUAAAGAGGAGAGAAAAGAUGAAGGAGAUACUGCCCUUGAUGGAAACGGUGGAUCUUGUAAAUGUGAGAUGACAGAAUCUUCAGGAACUGUGUGUUCACACUAUAAGAAACUAGAUGGGACGAGCAUUAAAGAGGAGAGAAUAGAUGAAGGAGAUACAUGUAGUGCCCUUGGUGGAAACAGUGGAUCAUGUGAAUGUGAGAUGACAGAAUGUACAGGAACUGUGCGUUCACACUGUAAGAAAAUAGAUGGGACAAGCGUCAAAGAGGAGAGAACAGAUGGAGGAGAUAGUGUCCCUGAUGGAAACAAUGGAUCAAGUGAAUAUACUGAAGGCACUAUUACGAGUCAAUGCCAGAGAUUCUCCCCCGACAGGACAGUGUUUUCGUCUGGUCUGCUUCUUGAUUGGAGGAGGAAAACCAACGUGGAUUCAACGCUAACUUUGAAAUGCCACGGCGAAUAGUUCGGGCUACUGCAUUAAGAAGAAGGGCUCUAGAGUUCUGGAGGCAAGAUGGAUGAGAAUGGUCCAGCUGAGAAUACAUUACAAGGAGAUAUAAAACUGACCUUUAUGAAUGAGGAUAGUUUGAUUCUCAUGCAAUUUGAGAUUGAGGACAGGGACACGGAAUGGAGUGCAACGGCCAAAGAAUCUCUCGUUAAGAAUGAGGGGACAUUUAGUGACAACUCUAUUGCUCUCAUGGAGAAGGAUGGAGCUGCUCAAGGACGCAGUCGAAAAUCUGAAGACGACAAAAGUUCUUUUAGUACUGCUCUUUAUGUUUUCCGGAAAGAUGAGACUAGUCUCCUGCCGAAUGAAGAUAUAGGAUGCUUUGAUGAACUGAGAGUAGAAAAUGAAGAGGUUGUUUUGACUGGAUCGAGUGAUCGUGAGAGGGCAGACUACACAGGGUCUAUGUGUUCAUCCAUUGAGCAUGAAACAACUGCUUCCAUGGGAGGAACAACUCUUCAAUGUUUAUUGUGUGAUUGCUCGUUUGCUGAUGAGUUCCAGCUGACAGAACAUCUCCAACGUUCUCACAUCGAUGUAGAGUCAGAAGAUACCAUGAUUCACCGUUCACACUGUCAAAAAUCAUUUCUAUCCAAUACCGACUUUGUGCAACACGAGCUUGAACGCACAGGAGGGAAGCCGUUUGAAUUUAGUUAUGCUAGUGAGCAUCGUUCGGAUGGGCA
rnacentral:misc_RNA from 1 species